UACGUAGGGGGCAAGCGUUGUCCGGAAUCAUUGGGCGUAAAGAGCGUGUAGGCGGCCAGAUAAGUCCGCUGUGAAAUCUCGAGGCUCAACUUCGAGCUGUCGGUGGAAACUGUCUGGCUAGAGUCCGGAAGAGGAGAAUGGAAUUCCUGGUGUAGCGGUGAAAUGCGCAGAUAUCAGGAGGAACACCGGUGGCGAAGGCGGAUCUCUGGGCCGAUACUGACGCUGAGGAGCGAAAGCGUGGGGAGCGAACAGG
rnacentral:rRNA from 1 species